CUGAAAUGCAAAAUCAUCCAUUUGAGCUUGUCGGAUCUCAGAAGCUAAGCAGAACCAGACCUGGUUAAUACUGGAUGAGAGAUCACCUGGGGAAACCAAUGGCAGUAGGUUAGU
rnacentral:rRNA from 1 species